UACGUAGGGGCCUAGCGUUGUCCGGAAUUAUUGGGCGUAAAGAGCUCGUAGGCGGUCUGUCGCGUCGGCUGUGAAAACCCGAGGCUCAACCUCGGGCCUGCAGUCGAUACGGGCAAACUAGAGUACUGCAGGGGAGACUGGAAUUCCUGGUGUAGCGGUGAAAUGCGCAGAUAUCAGGAGGAACACCGAUGGCGAAGGCAGCUCGCUGGGACGGUACUGACGCUGAGGCGCGAAAGCGUGGGGAGCGAACAGG
rnacentral:rRNA from 1 species